rnacentral:rRNA from 1 species
CAAAUGGCGCUCCCGGGGUCUCCUCGGGAGCAGGUCUGUCCGAGCGUCUGCCACUCCAACAGGCUGUCGCCGUGUUACGGCGACGGGAUUGAGGGGCUGCACAAUGGCAACUUUGCAUUGCCGUGCACCCCUUGAAGAAGAGAAGUCGGUGCAACCCACGCCGGACGGUGACGGUGUCACGAGGAGACGGUCGUCACAACGGUGCGACGAGUUGUUUGGCCGUUCCUCUCGUGGCCGUGACCGCUCCGCGCGGGAUUGGACGCGACGACAUCAGGCAGUCAAUCGACCAACCGGACCUCGGAUCAGGCCAGGCUACCCGCUGAAUUUAAGCAUAUUAAUAAGCGGAGGAAAAGAAACUAACAAGGAUUCCCCCAGUAACGGCGAGCGAAGCGGGAAUAGCUCAAAUUUGAAAUCUCCGGUGCUUGCACCGGCGAAUCGUAGUCUGUAGGGCCAGUUUCGCGGGAGACGGUGUCCCCAAAGUCGUCCUGGAAAGGCGGGCCGGAGAGGGUGAGAGCCCCGUGCGUGGGGGCACCGUCGGAGGUAAGAUCUGUGCCCGAAGAGUCGGGUUGUUUGGAAUUGCAGCCCAAAAUGGGUGGUAAACUCCAUCUAAUGCUAAAUACUGGCACGAGACCGAUAGCGAACAAGUACCG